UACAGAGGAGCCAAGCGUUGUCCGGAUUGACUGGGCGUAAAGCGCACGCAGGCGGUUGCGCGCGUGGGGUGUGAAAUCUGGCCGCUUAACGGCCAGGCGCCAUCCCAUACGGCGCGACUGGAGUGAUGCAGAGGUCGAUGGAAUUGCCGGUGUAGUGGUGAAAUGCGUAGAGAUCGGCAGGAACACCCAGGGGGAAACCAGUUGACUGGGCAUCUACUGACGCUGAGGUGCGAGAGCGUGGGGAGCGAACCGG
rnacentral:rRNA from 1 species